rnacentral:rRNA from 1 species
AUGUCGCAAUACGCUACUAAGACUAAAACCCAAGAGAGUAGUGAGCCCGAGUCGGAGCCAAAGCCGGCGCCGGAGCCGGCGGCGGUUGAGGCCUCCACUGACUGGAAGGAGGACGAGGAGCACGAGGUUGACAGCAUUCAGCGGAAGGUAAACCGCUACCGCAUGAUCAAGGAGCUCUACGCCGCGACGGAGAAGGUUGUCCCGGCGAGCAGCGGCGGCCGGAAGCAGAAGGAGAAGAAGAAAUAG